rnacentral:lncRNA from 1 species
AUGUAAUAUUCAGCACUGUACAUUGAACAGACUGGAAUUGGUCCCAGUAAAUGCUGAUACUCAGGCAUGUUGACUUAGUCUAACCAUACGAAGGUCAUAGUAUCCACUGUAUUAUAAAGGGUGAUUAAUUUUUAUCAUAAGGGAUUCAGUAUUUCAGUAUAGAGAUGGGGAAAGAGAGGAGAACCUCCUUAUUCAAAGUGGAGUUCAGGAGAGACUACUAAUGUUUAGGGUUGGCUCAGAGAGAGGAGAGGGGGUUUGAAGAUUUUCCCUCUUCUGCCUUCCCUCCUUAGCUAUGGCUUCUCUCCCAGAUUUGCUCUUGUUCCUCUUGUUCCCCCUCUACUACUUGAGACCAAAGGGUUUCCCCUUGAUCUGUUCACUCACACACUGCUUGGGGAAGUUAAUUCUUUAAUGUCAACUCAGUCAAGGUAGUAGUAGUCUCUCGGUAACUGAGGAUGACGAUUGUCUGUGCGUUUUCAUCUAUGAUAGAUGAGCGUGCACAAAGACACUUAUGCGUGAAGGAGAUUUAAGUGGAAGAGUCGAUGCACAGAGACAGUCCCACUCUCUCGGCGUUGGAAGCCUGGGUCCAGUAGCAUGAAAAGUCGUUACACCUGGAGACUUCCUCAGCUGCAUUGGAUGGCCGUGUUGUCUUUUGUGCUCCAACACGCCCUAAGCACUCCACAGUGCUUUGCUGCGUCGCCCUCUCAGCCAUCAAGAUUCCUGCCACUGCUAGAUUACUUCUGUGACAUGUUUUAGCCAGAAUUCAAAGGAUACCUCAUUUAGUGAGUAGGGUCAGCUCCUUGAAAAAACAAAACAAAACUAUACUUGACUGACAGCCUUAACUCAAUUCCCAACUGUUGAUGACACAGGAUGAUGAUAUCAUUGCAUCUUGAGCAGGAGAUAAUGAAAGUAAUGCCCUUUCCAUUAUAAUGACCUCACUUCAUCCUCACUCACACCUUUUAUGAAAAUGAAUUCAAAAUUUCUUACCAGUUUCAUACCCUAUCAUUUUACUUUAUUUAUUUAUGAGGAUUUUUUGUAACUUCUCCUUUAUAAAUAAUAACAAUAGCUGUAUUUAUAUAGAACUUAAAGAUUUACAAAGGACUACAUGUGUAUUAUCUCAUUUGAUCUACAUAAUAACCCUGUGAGAUAAGUUAUUAUUAUCUCCAUUUUACAGAUGCAGAAACUGAGGCUGAGAGAGACUAAAUGACUUGCCUGGGGUCACACAGCUAGUCUGAGGCAGGAUUUUUAAAAA